rnacentral:rRNA from 1 species
AUCGAACGCUGGCGGCAGGCUUAACACAUGCAAGUCGAACGAGUGGCGGACGGGUGAGUAGUGUCUGGGCAACUGCCUGAUGGAGGGGGAUAACUACUGGAAACGGUAGCUAAUACCGCAUACCAUCGGAUGUGCCCAGAUGGGAUUAGCUAGUAGGUGGGGUAAAGGCUCACCUAGGCGACGAUCCCUAGCUGGUCUGCGAGGAUGACCGGCCACACUGGAACUGAGACACGGUCCAGACUCCUACGGGAGGCAGCAGUGGGGAAUAUUGGACAAUGGGCGCAAGCCGGAUGCAGCCAUGCCGCGUGUAUGAAGAAGGCGUUCGGGUUGUAAAGUACUUUCGGCGGGGAGGCGUUACCCGCAGAAGAAGCACCGGCUAACUCCGUGCCAGCCGCCGCGGUAAUUC